rnacentral:rRNA from 1 species
ACAUCCCGAUGCUAUUUCUAGAGAUAGAAAGUUACUUCGGUACAUCGGUGACAGGUGGUGCAUGGUUGUCGUCAGCUCGUGUCGUGAGAUGUUGGGUUAAGUCCCGCAACGAGCGCAACCCCUAUUGUUAGUUGCCAUCAUUCAGUUGGGCACUCUAGCGAGACUGCCGGUAAUAAACCGGAGGAAGGUGGGGAUGACGUCAAAUCAUCAUGCCCCUUAUGACCUGGGCUACACACGUGCUACAAUGGUUGGUACAACGAGUUGCGAGUCGGUGACGGCGAGCUAAUCUCUUAAAGCCAAUCUCAGUUCGGAUUGUAGGCUGUAACUCGCCUACAUGAAGUCGGAAUCGCUAGUAAUCGCGGAUCAGCACGCCGCGGUGAAUACGUUCCCGGGCCUU